rnacentral:lncRNA from 1 species
GUUAGAAGAUGACAAGAAGUUCUUCUAAUACUCUAGGCCUGAAGUAAUUGGACUUAAAAUCAGAAAAGUGGCAGCAAGAGUGAAAAAGAAGGUGUGAAAAAUGCUAGGAUUUCACAUUUGAUGGACUCAAAGGGGAACAUUAGACAAAGAAAGACUCUAACAAUUCUAAAGGCAGUAUAGUAUAACAGCAUCCCCAAAACCCUGAAGCCAGUCUGUUUGGAUUUGAAUCCUGGUUUUAUUGCCUUUUGCCUGGAUGACUUUGUGCCGUUCACUUACUCUUUUUAUGCAUCAAUGUUCUUAUCUACAAAAUGAAGUAAAUGAAAGCAUCGACUCAUCAAGGUAUUAUGAGGAUU